ensembl:ncRNA asRNA:CR44237 antisense RNA:CR44237
GACUUACUUCAGUGAAGUGCACCAUAUUGACUUGGAUUAGCCCAAAGGCGCCCAGUUGCUGUGUUCGCUGGCAAUAUUGCGUCCAGAGCAAAUAGAACUUCCGGUACCGCCUACUUCCCAAAUACCAUUCCUGGCUUCGCAACGACGAUUCCAGUCCCUCCGACUGUAAAUUUGUAAUGUUGCAUUAUUUGUGCAUUGUGGACUUAUCAAAAAGAACUCACCGCCUUUUCCAGUUGGGUUCCCCGUAGACAAAUCUCAAAUGUGAAGCCCACCAGGACCAAAGUGGGUAAUAUAUACUGGGCGAUGAUAAGGACAUCUGAUGUCUCCGAGAGCAUAAAGAGGUAGAAGCAGAGGGAACCGGCGCCUACAAAAUUGCUCACCAGGAAGGCCACUUUAAAGAUGUCGUUGUAUCUUCGAUAUUGCUGCUGCCUCUGAACUAAUAACCUAAGAUCCACAAAGAAUCGCUUCUCAUCGGUCAAACUCUGUCGAGGAUCGAUGGCCGAAAACUGGCGAGCAAGAUGGCCCAAAUGCAUGACCAAAUGUCCCUGCAUCACAUUGAAUAGGUUGUCGAAGGUAACGAAAAAGGAGACGCCGCAAGUGGUGCACAUCAGGUCGAAGGACCAGACUAAAAGGUAGAAAUUUGGGUCCUUUCGCACACCGCAUGGCAGCCAUCCUCCAAGGAGCUGCUCGUGCUGGGCAACAGGAGUAUCUUUACCCUCGUGGGUCAGGAGGAAUAGAGCUAAUGGCACAACGCAGAACAUCGGACCACCCAAAUGGGAGUAGAUACGGAUGAAGCGAUAGCGCUGCCAAAAGUUUCGGUAUAGCAUCAAUCCCCUGAUCGAGAAGUAAAUGGUGAUGCUAAGCACGGGCGGAUUCUGGUUGGCAGGAUGUCCCAGCCAAAAAUGUCCUAUGAUGUCCCAACCAUUGCAGCCGAAAAACAGGACAUUAAGAAACGCCGACAAGCAGAAGGGGACCAUGGAUGCGUUCACCAUGCUGUUGUCCACCGGAUUUCUCCGCCACUGGAAAUGCACCAUCUGAGCCACCUCCUGGAACAUCUGCGGACGCAGAAACUCCUCCAUUCGAUAGGGUUUUUUGAUUUCCGUUGGCUUCAUGGUUUGCUAAACUCACUUAACUUUUCUGUAUGGCUUCUACUGUCUGAACUUCCUAUAUAUGGCCAAUAAUCCUAAAUAAUUACGAGUCUAAUUGAUAAGGUCCUGCCAGAUUGGAUUCUAAAUUGCACGUUUUAUGAUCGCAGUAAAUUAGCUACAGGC